UUGUAACACAGGGGGUGCCGGGGCUGUCGCUGACUACGUGCACGCCCUGAGCAUUCUCUCAUUCACAUCCAUCACACCUUUGUGCAUCACCGCGUGGGCUCCCUUCGAUUUAGGGGGGUGCUUGCGUUUUCACACAUACACACAAUUACAUAGAAUGUUCACACUUGCGAUUACACGCAAAUCAAUA
rnacentral:misc_RNA from 1 species